UGUCCUCUCUUUCUCUCCCACUUUCUUCUUCUUCUUCUUCAUUCUCUGGGCGGCUGAAGGUGAAAUUGAAAUGAAGUCUUUCAAGAUGUUGUGGUUUAUGUAUCCUGGUCAAUUGGUUGUGGUAAAUAACCAAUUCUAAGUUGUACAAUCACAGUUGUGGAUUCCGUGUAUACUGGUUGGGACCUCUCACCGGUACAAAGCAAAGGUACCAUGGAUUGGUGAAGAAAGUUAAAUACUGCAAGGUGGACGAAUUAGACUUAAAGGGUUGCAGCAAGCGGCUGUUGCUGUUGGUUCCACAUUGCUGCACUCAGGACCCAAGACGGGUGGAUUUGAUAGCAGCUUUAGGGGAGACAACUGGAAAACCAGCAUUUGAAAGAGUUUUAGAGAGGAUCAAAAACAACCCAAAAGGCAGAAUUGAGAAGAAAAUAAAAUGCUGCAAGGUGGACGUAUCAGACUUAAAUGGUGGCAGCAAGCGGCUGUUGUUGUAGGUUCCGCAUUUGGUGCACUAACGGAUCCAAGACGGGCGGAUUUGAUAGCAGCUUUAGGGGAGAAUACUGGAAAACCUGCAUUUGAAAAAGUUUUAAGGAAGGAUCAAAAACAACCCAGAAGAAGGGAGAGCUAUGUUGUUGGAGCAUCUGCUAACGUGGGGCAUGCGUGGGACCUACCAGAGAACACAUUUUGGUGAAGCUUACGAUAGAUUUAUGGGACCAAGACACUUCUCUCCUGAUGACCAUCCACCAGUGCGUUUCAUGGAGACAGGAACUUGCAUAUGUUGCAAUUCGAGCCUGCGAGGUGCAUGAUUUCUGGCAUACCCUGUUUGAUCUUCCAACCAACUUAAUUAGUGAGUCUGCACUCAAAGUCAUUGAAUUCGAGCAGAUGUACCUACCAAUGUGUCUGUUGUCAGUUGUUGGUGGCACGACUAGGUUUAACGGGAAGAAAAGGGCUGUGUUCUUUAAACACUACUUGCCAUGGGGAACACGAGCUGGUAGGCCGUGUACAGAUCUCAUGUUUAUCUACUAUGAACAGCAUUUCCAUGAGGAUUUAGCCUAAGAGAUGGGAAAUAGGCAGAGAUCAAGCAUGUCAGAUCAUUGGUACUCUAUCUGGGGUUUUGGGUUUUGAUACAAGUUAUAUGGAUGAAAUAAUGGCAAUUUUGAUGGCAAUUGAAUAAGCUGUCAGUGUAUGCCUAUCUAAAAUCAUUAUUAGAUCUGAUUCACAGACAAUAUUGGGGAUUAUAGUAAUGGUUCCAUACCUUGCUGUAUACAAGCAAAGUUGGAACCUGGCACUGGUGCAGACGGUGGAUUAGAGAGACACUUUUCUGCCUAUUCUCUUGCAAAAGCUGGGCCUAGUUAUGCAGGUGGUAUAAGAUUGGAGAUGGGAAGGACUGAUUCUACGCCAAGAAUGCACAAUUUGCCACUGGAUUACAAAUA